rnacentral:rRNA from 1 species
GGACUACAAGGGUAUCUAAUCCUGUUUGCUACCCACGCUUUCGUGUUUCAGCGUCAGUUACGGUCCAGAAAGCCGUCUACACCACCGGUGUUCCUCCUGAUAUCUACGCAUUUCACCGCUACACCAGGAAUUCCACUUUCCCAUCCCGCACUCUAGCCAGACAGUCUGUAGCGCACCCUCCCAGUUAAGCCGGGAGAUUUCACACCACUCUUAUCCAACCGCCUACACACCCUUUACGCCCAGUAACUCCGAACAACGCUUGCUGCCUACGUAUUACCGCGGCUGCUGGCAC